GAUGAAGAACGCAGCGAAAUGCGAUAAGUAAUGUGAAUUGCAGAAUUCCGUGAAUCAUCGAAUUUUUGAACGCACAUUGCGCCCCCUGGUAUUCCGGGGGGCAUGCCUGUCCGAGCGUCAUUGCUGCCCUCAAGCACGGCUUGUGUGUUGGGCCCCCGUCCCCGGUUUCCCCCGGGGACGGGCCCGAAAGGCAGCGGCGGCACCGCGUCCGGUCCUCGAGCGUAUGGGGCUUUGUCACCCGCUCUGUAGGCCCGGCCGGCGCCAGCCGACACCCAACUUUAUUUCUAAGGUUGACCUCGGAUCAGGUAGGGAUACCCGCUGAACUUAAGCAUAUCAAUAAGCGGAGGA
rnacentral:misc_RNA from 1 species